CCUACGGGAGGCAGCAGUGAGGAAUAUUGGUCAAUGGGCGAGAGCCUGAACCAGCCAAGUCGCGUGAGGGAGUACUGCCCUAUGGGUUGUAAACCUCUUUUGUCGGGGAGCAAAAGCCGGACGUGUUCGGCUGUGAGAGUACCCGAAGAAAAAGCAUCGGCUAACUCCGUGCCAGCAGCCGCGGUAAUACGGAGGAUGCGAGCGUUAUCCGGAUUUAUUGGGUUUAAAGGUUGCGCAGGCGGAUUUUUAAGUCAGCGGGAAAAUCGUGGGGCUCAACCCCAUCCAGCCGUUGAAACUGGGGGACUAGAGUGUGCGAGAGGUAUGCGGAAUGCGUGGUGUAGCGGUGAAAUGCAUAGAUAUCACGCAGAACCCCGAUUGCGAAGGCAGCAUACCGGUGCACAACUGACGCUCAGGCACGAAAGCGUGGGUAUCGAACAGGAUUAGAUACCCUGGUAGUC
rnacentral:rRNA from 1 species